GAAGUUGUCAAAGGUUGCUCUGCUCUCCAGCACUUGGCACGGGCUCCUCUGAAAUGUGAUACCAUUGGUUUUCAGUAAAGGUUCCUUUCUGCAGGGCUGCAAACAGCUCAGCUGCUACCCUGUACACACAGCCCCGGAGCAGAGCGAGCAGCACCUUCCCAGCAGCCUUUUGAACCCGAGACUCUCCCAGAUCCCCUCUUCACCCAGGAAGUUUCCUCUGUGUUGUAGAUUUAGCACCAGACUCCAGUCAUCAGAUCCGAGCAGAGCAGACUCCCCGCUGCACAGUACAGAGGCUUGCUUAAGACAUUUGUCCUUGAAACUGCACCAAACUCUUGGAAGAGCCCAGAACGUAGCUACUUGCUGGUUCAUCAAUGAAGCAACCCGAAGUGAUGAAGAUGUAAGGAACGCAUCCUACGCUAGCACUGUUGCAGUUGGAAAGGGAGAACCUUCUGGCAAUAUUCAAAUGCAUAAAUAAUGUUUGGUAAAGUCACAUCUCAAAUCUUACCCUUCUGUGGCUCAGGCCAGUGACAGUUCCAUUCACACCUUGCCUUGAAUGGCAAGAAGGGUUGUCCCCAGUCUGAGGCUUUCAGAACUGUCCUGUGACGCUAGCAACAUCUGCACCUCCUGCAUUCCUCCUUCGGAGGGUGGAAGAGAAUCUGUCUUUUCCCUUCAUGCUCUUUACUGCACGUGGCCAGGACAUGGGGAGGUUCUAGUUUCAAGCAAGAAGAUGACCAAGAAACCAAAGCC
rnacentral:lncRNA from 1 species